UACGAAGGGGGCUAGCGUUGUUCGGAAUCACUGGGCGUAAAGCGCACGUAGGCGGAUCUUUAAGUCAGGGGUGAAAUCCCGAGGCUCAACCUCGGAACUGCCUUUGAUACUGGGGAUCUCGAGUUCGGGAGAGGUGAGUGGAACUGCGAGUGUAGAGGUGAAAUUCGUAGAUAUUCGCAAGAACACCAGUGGCGAAGGCGGCUCACUGGCCCGAUACUGACGCUGAGGUGCGAAAGCGUGGGAGCAACAGG
rnacentral:rRNA from 1 species